rnacentral:rRNA from 1 species
GACGAACGCUGGCGGCGUGCCUAAUGCAUGCAAGUCGAGCGGGCUACAGUCUUCGGAUAGUAGCUUAGCGGCGAACGGGUGAGUAACACGUAGGUAAUCUACCCUUCAGAGGAGGACAACCUCAGGAAACUGAGGCUAAACCUCCGUACGUUCAUGUGCAGGGAUGCAUAUGAAGAAAGAGUUACCGGAAGGUAGCUGCUGAAGGAUGAGCCUGCGGCCCAUCAGGUAGUUGGUGAGGUAACGGCUCACCAAGCCUAAGACGGGUAACCGGUCUGAGAGGAUGUCCGGUCACACUGGGACUGAGACACGGCCCAAACUCCUACGGGAGGCAGCAGUGGGGAAUCUUCCGCAAUGGGCGAAAGCCUGACGGAGCAACGCCGCGUGAGUGAAGAAGGCCUCGGUUGUAAACGUACUGUCAUCAGGAAGAAGAAAGUAGACGGUACCGUACGAGGAGGAAGGACCCGGCCGUAACCUACGUAGCCGAGCGAGCCGCGGUAACGUCAUACUCGUA